UGGGGAAUUUUGCACAAUGGAGGAAACUCUGAUGCAGCGACGCCGCGUGAGUGAUGAAGAUCUUCGGAUUGUAAAACUCUGUCCUUAGUGAAGAUAAUGACAGUAACUAAGAAGCAAGCCCUGGCUAAAUACGUGCCAGCAGCCGCGGUAAUACGUAUGGGGCAAGCGUUGUCCGGAAUUAUUGGGCGUAAAGGGUACGUAGGCGGUUUAAUAAGUCCUAAUUAAAAGGCUAUGGCUCAACCAUAGUAUGGUUAGGAAACUGUUGAACUUGAGUAGAUGGGGGGAAAGUGUAAUUCCAUGUGUAGCGGUGAAAUGCGUAGAUAUAUGGAGGAACACCAAUGGCGAAGGCAACUUUCUGGAAUCAAACUGACGCUGAGGUACGAAGGCGUGGGGAGCAAACAGG
rnacentral:rRNA from 1 species